UACAGAGGUGGCAAGCGUUGUUCGGAAUUACUGGGCGUAAAGGGCUCGUAGGUGGCCAACUAAGUCAGACGUGAAAUCCCCAGGCUCAACCUGGGAACUGCGUCUGAUACUGGAUGGCUUGAAUUCGGGAGAGGGAUGCAGAAUUCCAGGUGUAGCGGUGAAAUGCGUAGAUAUCUGGAGGAAUACCGGUGGCGAAGGCGGCAUCCUGGACCGAGAUUGACACUGAUGAGCGAAAGCCAGGGGAGCAAACGGG
rnacentral:rRNA from 1 species